CCCACCCCUAGCUUGUUGUUUGGUUAUUCCAACUUCUAUAGCCCCAACGCCAGAUGCAGGUGAUGUAAGUUCAUGACGGCCCUGACUCUAUUGUGCUUAGAAGACAGUGUUUCACAGUUUUUCUCCCAAUCUUCUGGCUCGUAUGUACUUCUUAUUCCUUCUUCUGUAAUAUUCUUUGAGCCUUAAGUGGGUUGUAUAACUGUCUUGUUUGGGGGGGUUGUGUCUUUCACCGCCCUUUUAAUUCACAUCUUUUUUUUUCUUUAUUAACUUGAGUAUUUCUUAUUUACAUUUCGAUUGUUACUCCCUUUCCCGGUUUCCAGGCAAACAUCCCCCUAGCCCCUCCCCCUCCCCUUCUAUAUGGGUGUUCCCCUCCCCAUACUCCCCCCAUUACCGCCCUCCCCCCAACAGUCCCGUUCACUGGGGGGUUCAGACUUGGCAGGACCAAGGGCUUCCCCUUCCACUGGUGCUCUUACUAGGAUAUUCAUUGCUACCUAUGAGGUCAGAGUCCAGGGUCAGUCCAUGUAUAGUCUUUAGGUAGUAGCUUAGUCCCUGGAAGCUCUGGUUGCUUGGCAUUGUUGUUCAUAUGGGGUCUUGAGCCCCUUCAAGCUCUUCCAGUCCUUUCUCUGAUUCCUUCAACGGGGGUCCCGUUCUCAGUUCAGUGGUUUAAUGAUGUCAUUCGCCUAUGUAUUUGCUGUAUUCUGGCUGUGUCUCUCAGGAGAGAUCUACAUCCGGUUCCUGUCGGCCUGCACUUCUUUGCUUCAUCCAUCUUAUCUAGUUUGGUGGCUGUAUAUGUAUGGGCCACAUGUGGGGCAGGCUCUGAAUGGGUGUUCCUUCUGCCUCUGUUCUAAACUUUGCCUCCCUAUUCCCUCCCAUGGGUAUUCUUGUUCCCCUUUUAAAGAAGGAGUGAAGCAUUCUCAUUUUGGUCAUCCUUCUUGAGUUUCAUGUGUUUAAUUCACAUCUUAUAUAGGUACAAGUCACUGCAUUUCACCUCUAUCUUGCAGCAAAAGGGGAUUUUUCUUAUUAAAGCUGAGGGUAGCUUUUGUCUUUGGAUCUAAACAGAUAUUUGGAAGGCUGUUUGAUGAUGAUAUACCCCUUUCUCUAAGCUCGGUUUAUCAUUAGGAUGUAUGACCUUCUUAGCCGUUGUUUUUUUUUGUUGUUGUUGGUGGUUUGUUUGCUUUGGGUUUUUCUAAACCACAUAUAUGGUAUUAGAAAUAAUGGGUUUCUUUUAUGCAGUAUUCUUUAAAACCAACCAGGGACCAUAACGACCAUGCCAUUAUUAUACCAAUGGAUAUGUCUUUUCUGGAAAGUUGGCAUUGCCAUAUGCAGGAUUCAAAACUAACUAGUAAAUCCACUGACUACUUUAUUUCCCUAGAAGUCUGAAUAAUGCUAUCCGGCACUGUGGAAGCUGGCCAGUAAGGAGUAAGCUUCCAGCUGGGUUCCCAUCAGUUUCUCUUUAUCCUUCAUCCGAGGUGUGUGCAGUCUUCAGAAAUAGGGUCUUGUCACUAGACAACAGACCUAUUACUUCUUUAACUUCUUUGCCUCUAGAAUUGAAAAACAGGUUCUCUGGUCUUUGCAAGUCCCACACACUCAUGUAUUUUUAUGCUAGCUUAAACAAAGACAGGUACCAAACUGCCUUAUACAGCAUUUCUAAAAUAAAAAAUGCAUGUGAUUGCCUAGAAAUUUAAAAAAUGCAGAUUUUUGAGAAAAGAAAUCGUCAGAUGUACUGAUAUUACAAGGAAGUCAAGUAAGAAGAGCCAAGACUCACCAGUUAGACGUAAUUAGUGGAAACCGUUGAUAUAUCUGAAAUGAAUAGUUUUUAUUUUUAAUUUUUUUAGCUUUUUAUUGGUUGUUUUAUUUAUUUACACUUCAAAUGUUCCCCCCUUCCCAGUUUCCUCUCUGAAAGCCUCCCAUCCAAUCCCCCCUCCCCCUCCCUCCAUGAGGGAGCUCUGCCACCCACCCACCCACUCCUGCCCCACCGCCCUAGCAUUCCCCUAUGCUGGGGCAUCGAGCCUUCACAGGACCCAAAGCCUCUCCUUCCUUUGAUGCCAGACAAGGCCAUCCUCUGCUGUAUAAGCUCUGAAGCCAUGGGUCUGUCCAUGUGUAUUCUUUGGUUGACAGUUUAGUCCUUGAAAGCUGGGGAGUUGGCAGUGGGGGCUGGUUGGUUGCUAUUGUUGUUCUUCCUAUAGGGCUGCAAACCCCUUCUGCUCCUUUAAUCCUUCCCCUAACUCCUCCACUGGGGUCCCUGUGCUCAGUCCGAUGGUUGGCUGCAAGCAUCCAUUCGCAUCUGUAUCGGUAAGGCUCUGGUAGAGCCUCUCAGGAGACAGCUAUAUCAGGCUCCUGUCAGCAAGCACUUCUUGGCAUCAGCAAUAGUGUCUGGGUUUGGCAGUCUCUGGAUGGUCUUUUCUUCAGUCCAUCUCUGCUCCACUCUUUGUCCCUGUAUUUCCUUUAGACAGAAUCAAUUGUGGGUUAAAAUUUUGAGAAGGGUGGGCAGGACCCAUCUCUCAACAGGGGACCAUGCCUAAGCUCUGGAUAUGCUCUUUACAGGUUCUCUCUCCCCUUUGUUGGGUAUUUCAGUUAACGGUCAUCUCUGUUGGCUCCUGGGAGCCUCUUGCUUUCCUAAUGUCUUUUCAAUUCAUUGGAAAAGAUAGAUAACUUAGGAUGGUUUAGGAGUGGGUAAGGGAUAAGAAUUCUAGACUUCAAGUUUGAAUUUCAAAUAUUAUAUAUUUGAUCGGUGUGUGUGUGUGUGUGUGUGUGUGUGUGUGUGUGUUUAUGUGUGACUUUAAGUAGCUGUUAAGUAACAAGGGUUCAAAAAUUAUAACGUAGUUAAAAAUUAUGGUUCAAUUAAUUAAUAUAUAGUUGUAAUAUUUGCUCCUCACCAAGUAUUUUCAAACUUAUUCCCUUAGACCAUUUUUCUUCUUAUAUGAGCUACUUAGUUUUUCACUUUUCCAAAUAGAUAAAUAUCUAUUUUAAGCAAGUAAAUAUGAUAUAUAAGUUGGGUAAAAACUAUAGGAAUUGUUUCAUCAUUCACUUUUUUUUUGGUUCUUUUUUUCGGAGCUGGGGACCGAACCCAGGGCCUUGUGCUUCCUAGGCAAGCGCUCUACCACUGAGCUAAAUCCCCAACCCCUUUGUUUCAUCAUUUAACCCUGGGCCGGACUGUGAAUCAGUCAGCAUGACACGGUUCCUUGACAACUAGGUUUGCUGGUGUCCUUGUUCUUAAGGACUCAUAAACUCAUUCGAAAGGGUAUUUGUGAUACAGAUGAAUUUGUGACUCCUAGGCCGAAGUCAAGCUCUUCCCUCCUGCCUUUCUUUGGGUCACUCUUUGGGGCUCCUGUUGAUGUCCCCACAAAGGGUAGUAGAUUGUUUGACUUCUGGUUCAAAUGAAGCUGGAGUCUGGACUAAAGACUUCUCUAGUAAAGUCAUCAUCUACACUUAAAUUCUAUUGUGACAAAGUCAGUUAUUACCUUUGAAGCACAAAACCCAUCACUCCCUUUGCUGACAGAAAACUUCAUGUUCUCAUUUAAUGAAGAGAACAUGAAUUUAAUUUAAUAUCCAUUUAAAUAUCCUCAAUGUAAUAUCCAUUGGGGUUUAAUAGGAAAAACAGGCCUAACCAUCAGAGAGGUUGAGUUUCAAAUCUAGUCUUUCUUCUUACCUAAGCCUUAAUUUCUCUGAUCUUCAAACUGCUUAUAGAUAUAGUCAUUUAUAGGAAUAACAUGGUUGUGUUCAUGCCAGUGCAGAAUAUUUUUUAAAAGAUGAAAAAGAAAGAGUUAAGCUAAGAUGCUUAGACAAAAAACAAACAAAAAAAUAAAAAGCAACUGAGCACAAAUUCAGAGAGGGAACAGGGAGAGAUGGCAAUAUACAAUAAGAAACAAUAGAACUAAUAUACAAUAAGAAAUAAUAAAUACAAAAACAUGAACAACAAUAGCUGUGACAGGCUAAACACACUCACAGGGGUCCUGGAAUCUAUUUCAGAGGAAGGACUGACAGUCUGGAAAAGAGAAAAUAAGAGAGGGUUGUGAGAGAAAUGAGUCUCAAGGCAACCAGGAUCAUGUUCUGACAGGUCAAAAGUAAAAUGGCCACUGGACAUCACAAUGGCUCUGGAACCAUGUACAGACUGGAAUGACAAAUGUGAGACUAUUUGCGACAGCACAUAAAACAACCCAAGUGAGUUCCCCAAGGACGGACACUGGACUUGUAUUGACCCUCAUGAACAACAUUUAGAAGCCUUAGUGAUUGGCUGACGUAGAAACAGCAUUCUUCUUGGAGGAACAGGCAAAGACCACCUUCUUUAGCUGUCAGGACAUCCAGUCCCCGUCGGUUCUGAAACACCACAGCUGCAACAAAGAAUCGAUCUGUUUCUGGAUGACUCUGGCAUCUGCUUUAAGAUUGCUGUUUGAGGAGAGUUCCACUGUUAAGCUUGCCGUCACCUCUAAGUUGUCUGAGCUUACCACAGUCCAUUAAGGUUGUCAUUUUGUCUGAGGACCAUGGGCAAAGGCUGACAGAUUACAGCAUAUCUUCCUUCACAGUUUACUGAACAGAAUAUGGGAAAAAUCCCAGAGCAACCCCAUGAAGAUUGAAGCUUAGAUCCAUGUGUCGCAAAUACGAUUGUUAUGGGACUAGCCUGGCCUCUCAAUUUUCAGAAGUGAGCAAAUAACCCAAGAGUGGCUGAAAGGCAUCUGUAUGGAGAGUUCCUUUGUAAGUACUUGGAAAGUGAAGACAGUCCAAGGAGAAAGUCCCUGGACAAUGGGCUACCUCAAGAGACUAAAGUGGAGAGCCUUUCGGUGGCGAAGUUUUCUCUCACUGCUCUGUUGCAUGAGUUAAUA